GUAUGAAGUUAGCAUUUAAUAAAUACUUUAGAAAUUAUUAUAACAAAGGCUUAAAUUAUUAGAUUAAAUAAUUUUAAUAUAGAAUGUUUGGCUGGAUUGUACAUAUCAGUUUUUUGAGCUUCUUAGUUGUCUCUGCUGGGGAAGGAGCCAAAUGUGAGGCCCACACUUCUCUCCUGGGCCCCACCACCACUUGGUUUCAGGUACCUAAGGUGUAGCACAAAUUAGCUUCUCUGUGGUACGGUUUGCUAAUGUAAUCUAAUCUAGCUCAGUGGAGAAAAUGACGUAUUCACAAAAAGUUCUGGAAGCGACUCUUAAACCCCAAUACAGCUCAGUUUAUAUAUAUAUAUAUGUAUAUAUACUCUCAUAAGAGUAAAUAUACUCUCAUAAAGUAUGAGAACUCAGGAUAUAGAACUCAGGAACAUAUUAGAGCAAAUCACUGAAAUCCACCAGAAACAAUGCUCACAUUCUCUCCAGAACAUUGAACACUCGCCCUGAUUAAAUUCCAGAGCUAGCAGAGAAAGCAAGGGGACUGGAAAUCAACUUGGCCUGCCCACUGACCCUGACUCAUGUGAUCACAUUUGUGCUGUGCCAACUCCCUCACUCACCGCUGUUGCUGCGUUUCCUUAGGUCAUACCCGCCUCCUGGCCCAUUGGCUUCCUCAGGAACCUCCACAAGAUCUGAAGUCUUGGAGGAAAGAAGAAAGAGCAUGGGAUGAACAAUGUUAUAUCUGUGGUCAAUUGAGCAGAUACUUUGGUGUAAGAGAGCUUAGGUAGAAUUUGCAUGACACAUAAGGACCCAGUGAUUGCUGUCUUGGCUGUUUGGCUAACUUCAGAGAAGCUAUGUCCACUCGUGGGCACUGUACCUCCCUUCAGGUGUCUAUAGCAGGCUCAGGCUUGGUGAUGCUCUCAGAACAAUGCCUUCACAGAGCUAAACUCCAACAAAUAUCUACUGGUGGAACCAGUGCCAGUAUAAGUGGACGGUGAUAAAUGGACAUCCCUUUGACAUUCAGAAAACUAUGCUUUUUGCUCCUAAAACCAGUCUGUAGGGUCCAGAUGUUGCUAAAGACAAAGCUAUAUUAGAGAUGAAAGCAAACUGGGACAUCCCCAAUUGUCCCUCUGGUGGUCUUGCUGCUUCUUAGCAUCAGCCUCAAAUGAGGAGGCUGACAUGUUCAUUGCCUACUAUGGAAUGUUUCCAAGGAGGUCUGUUUGUCAUAGGUCAGCAAAGCUCAGAACCACAGGAGCAGCCAUCUACUGCUCGUGCAGAUAGAUCAGAGCCAUCUCUGUGGAGCCGUCUCUCUGCAAUUGCCUCUAUGUGCUGGCUUUUCAGUUGCCCUUCCACCAAUGCCAGCCUCCCACAAGCAUGGAAGAGGCUUGCACUGAAGUGAGAUGACCUACUGGCUCUCAUCAAAGAUUUGAGAAAGGCUUGUUCAGAAUGCUGGUCAAAGUGGACAGAGAUCUCUCUACUCUGACCAGUUUUGUUUGUGCUUUUCCUUUGAUUGCUGGGUGGCAUCUACAAACAGUCUUGACUUGUAAGGGGAGAUGGUUGCAAGCUGAGAGUGAGCUCUGUGUGGCUUUGGGGAAGCAACUCAUUGACAGCAAUGGCCCUCCUCACUCCCCUGAGAAAGGAGAUGCAACGUGGUACGUGGGGUUAGGGAGAUGAUUAGCAUUCUUGGAUCUCUGUUUCAAACUUCAGAUCCAGGCUUGUGGCCACUGUAAAUGUGUCACUCAAAUGCUGUUCACACAGAGAGGGAGUAAGAGCAAAGGUGAAGAGGAGAGAGACAGAGGGCUGAUUUCUUUGGAAGCAAACUUUAGUUUUUAAUUUAACUCAGUAAUUCUCCAACUUUAAUGUGCAUCAGAAUCACCUGGAGGGGUUUUUAAAAUGGAAAUCGUUCGGCUCCCCAAAUCAGAUUUUCAGAUUUUGCAGUUCUGAGAGACAGAAACCCAAAUUUGCAUUUCUAACAAGUUUCCAGGUGAUGCUGAUGCUGCAGAUCCGGAGACCACACACUGAGAACCACUGAUUUAGCUCAUUGCCAGCCCUCUAUUACAGAAGUUUAGGCAGUUUUGACUGAGGAGGGUGCUCAUUCAUUCAUUGAUUCGUGCACUCACCACAUAUGUAUUGACACUCUACAAAGGGCUGGCAGAACCUGGGCCUUUAUAGUGUUACAGAAUUCUCCAGGGGAUUCUGAUAUGCCCCAGCAUUUGAGAAUCACUGGUAUAAAGUAAUGAAAACACAAAGCUGUGAAUAAAAGAAUCCUUGCAUUUAAGGAGGUUAGUCUAAUUGAGGAGAGGACUGGGAAAGUGAGAGAAAAAUCAAACAAAAAAGUGAAAAUUACUAAGCAAUAUAUAACUAAUGGAUUAAUGAACUGGAUGCUCCGGGGCACCAGGGAAGAGGUGGGUGCCCAACCAGACCCAGAAGCUUGGACAGAUGUUGUCUGACAGAGGUGGAGAUAGUUUGAAUGUCUGGACAGAGCAUGGCUAUGCAGAAAACGGCAAACUGUGCCCAGAGCUUAAGGUGUGAGAAAUGAAGUGUUGUGCGGAUCCCGGAGGAUUCUGAGGACUGGUUUGGUGCUUGGGCAAGAGGAAAUACCUAAGGGAGUCAUCAAUGUAGAGACGGUGCUUGAACUAAAGGAAUGUGACAGAGAUCAACCAAAGAGAGUAGAAUAAGAAGACCAAGCAAAAGCAGACCCCUGGGAACACUCCAACUUAAGGAGUUACAGGAGGACACAUCAGAGAAGGAGAUGGGCUGAGCAGAACAGCGAAGUUACCCUCGAGUGCCUGACUCCCUGCAGACCUGCCCUCAUGAGGCAGUCAGGUGGAAUACCCCAUACUGCAGUGCCUGAGGCCCGCUCUGCCCAAGACCACCACAGACAAACCGAGGAAGGAAGAGGAUAAUUACAGAGGUUCUGUGAGGAACUGAGCCGUUGGAUAAAUUCUCAGGAAAAUGACUGAUUAAGGGGGAAGGGCAGGUCUGUGUGAGAGUGGGGCUGACAGUCUUCUAAAGAAGGGGAGAGAGGACUCAAUCAGAUGCCAACCCCAGCCUGGGGAAAGAGGAAGAAGAUGCGAAUGAUAAUGAAAUUGUGGCUGCGGAAAUUUCUAGAGAAUAUGACUCAGAAAAAUGAGAGACUAAAUCAAGACAGAGGAAAAUAUCAGAUCCAGUACAUAACAGAAGAACUGACAACUGACACUGAGGAAAGGUAAGCGGUAUCCCACUAUGAUAACUCUGUAGUACCUGUACACUGGAGCGUCAAAAGAAGUAAGGCAGCAGACUUGGAAAAAAAUAGCACUUAAAAGUUUAUUGAUAGCCAGACACAGUGGUUCAUGUGUAUAAUCCCAGGACUUUGGGAGGCCAAGAUGGGUGGAGGCCAGGAGUUUGAGGCCAGGAGUUAGAGACCAGUCUGGGCAACAUGGUGAAACUCCAUCUCUACUACAAAUUCAAAAACUAGCCGGGUGCGGUGGUUCAUGCCUGUAAUCCCAGCACUUUGGGAAGCUGAGGUGGGCAGAUCACUUGAGGUCAG
rnacentral:lncRNA from 1 species